UGGCUUAAGGACAGGUCACCAGAAUGCCAACACUGAGAUGUAGUGCUCUCUGAAGUACAUCACUCUGCUUCUGCUCCAUCAAGACACUUACAACCAUGAUGAAAGUGGAUCCUAAAAACAACACAUGGCAUGCUAAAGCCAAAGUACAAAUCAGGGAUGAUGGCCUGGAAGACAUCAGUUUAGAUGAGCAAAGUUAUGUUUUGACUUGUAAACAUUUGAAUGACAGUUGCAUCUUAAUAACAUGCAAUAACCAAAAUGGACUGUCUGUCCAGAACCUGCAGCUGAGCGAUGCUGCACCGAUCCUCAUACAGACAUUUUCUGCCACUUCCCAGAAGGCAGUUGAUGUGGGAUCCACUGGUGUCAGCGAGAACAGCAAGAGCAAGGAGAAGGCAGAAGCUUACCCCACCAAGAAAGAAUGAGCCUACCUGGUUCCCAUCUGGGAAACUUGCCCUCCUGCAACAUUCAGUACAAAGAACAUGCUCUUCAUUGUCACCUAAAGAAGACACAAGGACUAAACUUGC